rnacentral:lncRNA from 1 species
GGUGCUUGACUCUGGUUCUAGUGCUCAUUUGUGCACUUCUAUGUAGGGUCUUGAGGAGAGCAGGAGGCUGAGGGAUGGGGAGAUGAUCCUAUGCAUCGAAAAUGGAGCAAGAGUUGCUGCGUGGCCGUGGGAACCUACCCUCUGUGAUUACCGUUAGGAUUAGAUUUAGUUUUAAGAGACUAUUAUUAUGUGCCUGCAGCA